rnacentral:misc_RNA from 1 species
UCCGAGUUGACCCCGGCAGUCUCCUAUGAGUCCCCGGCACGACCCGCUGGCAACAUAGGACAAGGGUUGCGCUCGUUGCGGGACUUAACCCAACAUCUCACGACACGAGCUGACGACAACCAUGCACCACCUGUACACAGUCCCAAAAAGGACCCGAUAUCUCUACCGGAUUACUGCGUAUGUCAAGCCUUGGUAAGGUUCUUCGCGUUGCGUCGAAUUAAGCCACAUGCUCCGCCGCUUGUGCGGGCCCCCGUCAAUUCCUUUGAGUUUUAGCCUUGCGGCCGUACUCCCCAGGCGGGGCGCUUAAUGCGUUAGCUACGGCACAGAGGACGUGGAAAAAUCCCCCACACCUAGCGCCCAACGUUUACAGCGUGGACUAC